GACGAACGCUGGCGGCGUGCCUAAUACAUGCAAGUCGAGCGGACGAAUCGAAAGCUUGCUUUUGAUUCGUUAGCGGCUGACGUGUGAGUAACACGUGGGCAACCUGCCCUGUAGACGGGGAUAACACCGAGAAAUCGGUGCUAAUACCGGAUAACACGAAAUGUCGCAUGACGUUUCGUUGAAAGACGGCGCACGCUGCCGCUACAGGAUGGUCCCGCGGCGCAUUAGCUAGUUGGUGAGGUAACGGCUCACCAAGGCGACGAUACGUAGCCGACCUGAGAGGGUGAUCGGCCACACUGGGACUGAGACACGGCCCAGACUCCUACGGGAGGCAGCAGUAGGGAAUCUUCCGCAAUGGGCGAAAGUCUGACGGAGCAACGCCGCGUGAGCGAAGAAGGCCUUCGGGUCGUAAAGCUCUGUUGUUAGGGAAGAACAAGUAACGCAGUAACUGGCGUUACCGUGACGGUACCUAACGAGAAAGCCACGGCUAACUACGUG
rnacentral:rRNA from 1 species